GACCUAGCCGUGGCCUUUCUCCCCCAGACACUGCUCGCGCAUUCCCCCGCUCGACGACGCCGCUCCUCCUAGAUUUCCAUGGGCGUCGCCUGUGUUGCAAGCUCUUCAAAUAGAAAAGGCUGCUAGAGAAACAGUUUAGACGGCGUUGUUUGCGGGUCAGUGAGAACAAGGAAGACCAACUCCCCCAGCCCCAGUUACCACUAUUAUUCUGGUAAUGUCUUGAUGGUUUGACAUGAACAAAUUGUGAGUCCUGAUUUUUAUAACUGGUUUGUAUGAAAACUGGUUCGACAUGCCUUAGAUAUCUGAUCGUUCACUCAGACACCAGUUUAUUAUGUUGUAAGUAAGCUUGUAGUAUCUAAAUGCUAAUAUCCUUAACUUGAAACAUAAUUAUAAGUUUGUGGUGCCUAAACGGUAACACCUGGAGCUAUAUAUCAUGCUUAUCUUUUCAGAUGCAUAUUGUGAUUCGUAUAUUUUUUGGAAAAUUUGUCAGCCUGUUUUCUUAAACAAAGUUCUAAAUAACAAUAGUUCGUUGGCAUUGUGAGUGAGUUUAUUUGAUAACAGGGAAUCGUGGAAGCUCACGACCCAGAACUACAGGAGAGGAAAAGCAAGCGAUACCAUUUUUUUAAGGUAAAACAUCAGGUGCUCUGCUCAUUCAGUUGAGGAGAAAGAAUAAGUUCAGUUUAUAAGCUAGAGAGGGACUAGCUGGUAGAGAAAAGAACGAAAAAGAAACCAGCCAUAAGACCAACGCUGACUACUCGCCGAGUUCAGGCUCCAUGCCUGGCUCGUUCUCUCAAAUUUCUCCUGCAGAUAUGAGCCUAGCAGCAGAUCGUCUUUAAUCAUCUCCAUAACCUGGUGCUCAUUGCUGGACGUGUUUUGAAAGACCCUCCUGCCAAAAGAGCUAUACCAUUACUUUAGCAGAAGUUGUUUCAUCUUUGGUGGCUUGGUCUGAUGCAAUGAGAUCGAAAAGGUCAGUAUAUGCAGAGUAAUAAUCUGUAUGGGUAUACAAUUUUUUUUCUUCUUCCCAGCUUUAGCAUCUCAUUAGAUAUCAUGUUUUUACAUGGUUACAAUGCAUGCAAAUUCACUCAGGUGAUCAUGUAUGCAUGAGUCGAGACAAUGAUAUUUGGUUGGUUCAUGUUGAACAUAACAUAUAACCGUGCAUGAUUUUGAUGGAUGACUGAAACGGAAGUUGUGGCAUGUGCUCUUUUAUUAGGGUAUUAUUUCAUACAUUGAAAAAUGGUGUGUUUGGACUCUAGAUACUUGUUACAAUUUUUUCUGAUAUAAGUAUACUCAAAAGUUUGUUGAAGGAUAGCAGGGCACACAACACUAUUCAGAAUAAAUUGCAUAUUGUUUCUUAACAUUUUGGAAUGGAUUGUUGCCUCCUGGACUGUAAGGAGUAACUUUGAGUUCCUGGUCAUGUCAGUGCAAUUUUGUCUUUUUUUCCUAGACACGGUACUGUGGGCUGAUAAUUCAUAAUUCAGUGAUGACACGUCACACAAACACUUUGAAGAUCACAACGUGCAUACAUAUGUCCUGCACCGCUCCAGGACUAAGUGUGUCAUAACAGGUUGAUACUAGAGUAAUUGAUCUUAAAAACAGGUUAAGUGUCCAAGACUUUAAGCCUGUGAGUUUCUUUCAAAUUUUAGCUAUUAUAUAGUUUACCUAUUCAUAAAAUGACUAAGUGAACCGUUUGAUCCAGAAAAACAUAUAUAAUUUAAUUUUCUAGAACAUUGUGUUAAAAUUGCCCCGCGAAAUUGUGAAAUUUCUUUCAAUAGAAGCACAAUAAAGGUAGAAAAAUUGCUGUCAAGACAUGAUUAAAAACUAGACAGUCAACAAAUGAAGGAAGAAGAAACAUGCUACUCCAUCCGUAUGACUAUUUGGUCUAACUUAUAAAACCUCUAGAAUCUUAUAAUCUUCUUUGUUUAAAUUCUUAUAUGAAUUUUAAUACAAGUUAGUAGUCAAAUUUACAUCUUACAAACCUGUAGCGUUUAUGUGUGCUUCUACUUUAUUGUUGUGCACAUGGCGACUUAUGUGCUAUGGAUGUUGGUUCUCCUAUUGAUUGUUCAAGAUUUAAACAAUUAAAAUUUCAAUGCCAUAUUCUUCAUGUGUCAUUUAAAUGAUUUUACCCUUAUCUAAUCAUUGAAUUUAGUACGAUGUUGCUACACAUAGCGUUUCUUCAUGAAUAUCUUUUAAAUUUCUGGUAUGGUGCCUAUAUGUGCAGCAUUUGUUAGAGCUGGCAGCAUUCUUUUCUAAUUGCAGAUUUUGAUGAGGCCCCACCUUUAAACAAGUUAGAUGAACAAUCUAUGACAGAUAAAACGAAAAGUCAAAGAAAUGUCGGCGAACAAGUUUAUGAUGCAUGGAGGUAACAAGCAAUGAAGGAAUAAAGGAUCAAGCUCUAUUGUCAUUUGUGCAAAAGAAAUAGGAAGGAAGAAAUAAAAGGUGUUUUUUCCUCCAGUUUGCCCUUCACCGGGGCUACAUCAAGUGUUGUUUGGGUUUUUUACGCUUACAUCGGUUGUCAGAUAAGCUAAAACACUCUGAUUUUCCCAUAUCUGAUAGUUUUGUUUUUUUGCUUCCUAGGGAAUUGGCACAACAAUGUUGGUAAGCUGAGUUUUUUAAAACCUCUCUAUAGAGCAUUCUGGAAUGAUCCAAUUUUCAGCAUUGUGUAUGCUUUGCAUGUAUAUUGUAUGUGAACCAGUUCUAAUGGAAUCAUAAUUUUCACUAUUAUCUAU